rnacentral:rRNA from 1 species
AACGAACGCUGGCGGCAUGCCUAACACAUGCCAGUCGAACGAGACCUUCGGGUCUAGUGGCGCACGGGUGCGUAACGCGUGGGAACCUGCCCUUAGGUUCGGAAUAACUCCCCGAAAGGGGUGCUAAUACCGGAUAAUGUCUUCGGACCAAAGAUUUAUCGCCUUUGGAUGGGCCCGCGUUGGAUUAGCUAGUUGGUAGGGUAAAAGCCUACCAAGGCGACGAUCCAUAGCUGGUCUGAGAGGAUGAUCAGCCACACUGGGACUGAGACACGGCCCAGACCCCUACGGGAGGCAGGAGUGGGGAAUAUGGGAAAAUGGGCGAAAGCCUGAUCCAGCAAUGCCGGGGGAGGGAUGAAGGCCUUAGGGUUGUAAAGCUCUUUUACCCGGGAUGAUAAUGACAGUACCGGGAAAAAAAGCCCCGGCUAACUCCGG